GUAGUUUGACUCUGGCUCAGAGACGACGCUGGCGGCAGGCUUAACACAUGCAAGUCGAACGAAGCCUUCGGGCUUAGUGGCGGACGGGUGAGUAACACGUGGGAACGUACCUUUUGGUUCGGAACAACACAGGGAAACUUGUGCUAAUACCGAAUGAGCCCUUAGGGGGAAAGAUUUAUCGCCAUUAGAGCGGCCCGCGUUGGAUUAGGUAGUUGGUGAGGUAAAGGCUCACCAAGCCCGCGAUCCAUAGCUGGUCUGAGAGGAUGAUCAGCCACACUGGGACUGAGACACGGCCCAGACUCCUACGGGAGGCAGCAGUGGGGAAUCUUGCGCAAUGGGCGAAAGCCUGACGCAGCCAUGCCGCGUGAAUGAUGAAGGUCUUAGGAUUGUAAAAUUCUUUUACCAGGGACGAUAAUGACGGUACCUGGAGAAAAAGCUCCGGCUAACUUCGUG
rnacentral:rRNA from 1 species